UACGUAGGGGGCAAGCGUUGUCCGGAAUCAUUGGGCGUAAAGCGCGCGUAGGCGGUCCGGUAAGUCCGCUGUAAAAGUCAAAGGCUCAACCUUUGAAUGCCGGUGGAUACUGUCAGGCUAGAGUCCGGAAGAGGCGAGUGGAAUUCCUGGUGUAGCGGUGGAAUGCGCAGAUAUCAGGAGGAACACCAAUAGCGAAGGCAGCUCGCUGGGACGGUACGGACGCUCAGGCGCGAAAGCGUGGGGAGCAAACAGG
rnacentral:rRNA from 1 species